GGAGUAGUGUAUGGAGGUUGGAGUAGUGUGUGGAGGUUGGAGUAGUGUGUGGGGGUUGGAGUAGUGUUUGGUUGUUGGAGUAGUGUAUGGGGGUUGGAGUAGUGUAUUGAUGUUGGAGUAGUGUGUAGAUGUUGGAGUAGUGUAUUGAUGUUGGAGUAGUGUGUAGAUGUUGAAGUAGUGUAUGGAGGUUGGAGUAGUUUACUGAUGUUGGAGUAGUGUGUAGAUGUUGGAGAAGUGUGUGGAGGUUGGAGUAGUGCAUGGAGGUUGGAGUAGUGUAUUGAUGUUGGAGUAGUGUGUAGAUGUUGGAGUAGUGUAUGGAGGUUGGAGUAGUGUAUUGAUGUUGGAGUUGUCUAUUGAUGUUGGAGUAGUGUGUAGAUGUUGGAGUAGUGUAUGGAGGUUGGAGUAGUGUAUUGAUGUUGGAGUAGUGUAUGGAGUUUGGAGUAGUGUAUUGAUGUUGGAGUAGUGUGUAGAUGUUGUAGUAGUGUAUAGAUGUUGGAGCAGUGUAUUGAGGUUGGAGUAGUGUAUUGAUGUUGGAGUAGUGUGUAGAUAUUGGAGUAGUGUUGGAGUAGUGUGUAGAUGUUGGAGUAGUGUAUGGAGGUUGGAGUAGUGUGUAGAUGUUGGAGUAGUGUAUGGAGGUUGGAGUAGUGUAUUGAUGUUGGAGUAGUGUAUUGAUGUUGGAGUAGUGUAUUGAUGUUGGAGUAGUGUAUUGAUGUUGGAGUAGUGUUGGAGUAGUGUGUAGAUGUUGGAGUAGUGUUGGAGUAGUGUAUGGAGGUUGGAGUAGUGUUGGAGUAGUGUAUGGAGGUUGGAGUAGUGUUGGAGUUGUGUAUGGAGGUUAUCCAAUACAUAAUCUAAUAUGAAAACAUAGAGCUUAUUUUUGAGGAACGUCUUUGUACCAUUACCAACAUGGCGGCUCAAAUGGCACCUUAUUCAUUAUAUAA